ensembl:snRNA
GUUUUAUAUGAAAGGAGAGAAGGUUAGCACUCCCCUUGACUAGGAUGGAAGAACCUCUCAGGCCUGACAACACGCAUACAGUUAAAGCAUUGCCACCUACUUCAUCGCAUCUAACCACUGUUUUUU